GUGGGGGGGGGUCAGUGUUGUGUGAUCUGUGUGAGAAAUAUACUAAUUGAAAUAUACUCAGCUUUAUUUUCUAAUUUUCUAAUUAGCUGAUGUUUUGUACCAUUGCUCCCCAAUUGUAGCACAUAUUGUAGACAGUAUAUCAAUGGCAUGCAGUAUGUUUGUGUUUUAAUUUUAACUUGGUGAAGUUAUACAAAUCUGCUUGAACUUAUUUCAGCUAUUCUGUUUCAGUGACAGAGGCAGACCUCUCACUGGUAACACUGCAAAACCUGCCUUGCCUCCAAACCAAGUUCUUAUUCAAACAAAAAGUGGUGUGCUCGAAUUUGAACUCGCGGCUGAAGCUGAUAAUUAGCCUGCAUGGAGUCAGCUUUGAUUGGCAUUGUAAUUGGAUUGUCAUUGGGCUGAAAACCUAUUAUCUUUGGAUCAUGCCCCAUGAAAUUUGUUGGAAAAACUUUGCUGCCAGUCAUUAGAGCGGCCAUCUUGGGCUUGCAAAUGAGGUUUAAAGGGAACAAGAUUGGUACCGCUGGGACCUUCAUUUCGCUGAGUCCCUCCACACAAUUCCAUUGGUAUUGAUUAAUGAUAUUAGCAUUGCAGGUGUCUGUUACAGCGUGCUGUGUUAUUGGCCAUUGCGUUGGACUGCUGCUGUUAGUGGGGGAGAGAUGAGUAGAGAUGGGGAGAGGGAGCAGAAUAAUGAGAGCGAAACCAGAGAGAAAAGGAGAGAGAGUGUGAAACUGUGGGUGACUUUUCAUUUGCACUUGUGUAUAAAAAGUAUUGGCCAUAUGUAUGUGUGCAGUGUGUUCUUUUAUACCGGAGUGUAUUGUAGCAAUAGACAGGGAGCUCAAUGCAACAGGAACAUAUAGUAUUUUGCAUACACCCCUUAAACACUUGUUCGUCGGUGUCUGUGUGCAUAUAUGUGUAAAACUGUGUGUGUUUAGAAGGUGUGAGCUCAUUCCCAUGUGCCUUACACAUAGCGAAGUGUGUUCUGAAACAAUAGGCUGUGAUGGUGACGCUUCCUCAGGUGUGCGUGGGUGUGUGAUUGGCUCCCUGCUCCAAGAGUUCUCACCUCACAUGCAGAUGGCACUGAAACAGACAUUCACACCCAUAGCCCCCUGCUCUCAGAACCCGAGCCGAAGAGACAGCCGCGUCCUCACGGAGACGCCAUCGGCAGCACACAGGAGGCGUGCGUGGAAAAAACGCCCUGUGGUGAAAAUGAUUAUUUUCUGUGAACUUGAGCAGAAUAGGCAUGAUGGAAUGUCAGGAAAAGUGCAGGCAGGUUAGUGGCUAGUCAGCUGAGGUUGGAGCUUAGGGAGUUUGUAAAUCACCAUACUGCUAUGCUGCAUUUAAUGACUGCUGUGUAACAAGUGUAUGCGCACUAAUCGCAGAGCAAUCUGUGCUCGCACACUUUCCAAAUUUAUAUCAGCACUGCCUGCGGUUGUAUCAGAAUAUACAUUUGAUGUGAACUGUGUACAAGCGCUGAUAAUGGGGAAUCAGGCGUAGAAGUGGAAAUUCAGGAAGUGUUAUUUUUUGCCUUAAGCUGUGUAACAGAAACCAAUCACAGAGAUCUUCUUGAGACACCACUUAGAUAAUGAUUGUGAGCUGUAUUGCUUUAAUUGUUUUGGUAAAUUAAUUAGACCAUUGUAUGUGUGUAUGUGUUAGUAUGUGUGCGUGUGUGUGUAUUUCAAUUUCCUUCAUGUGGUCCAGCUGAGUGAUGCCAUAGUUGCAGUGUUACUCUGUAGCUUGACACUAGUAUCAGCCUCUCCUUCACUGUAUGCAGCUACACAAUAACAGCUGAUCAGCCUGCUGUUGUCUUGAUUUGCAUGCUAUGGACGCAUCAUUAUUCACAACAUUUGAUGUCUAUAAAACACAUUAGAACUGUUUCCUUGAGCAAAAUAUUAUGGGCCUGCAAUAGCAGACAUCAUUUGUCUACCCAAAUUGUAAAAUGUAAAUUGAUAUGUAGGAACAUGGUCCAUUAACUUUUUCAUUAAUGCUUAUAAUGCAUUUGGAGGGUCGUGUGAGCAGAGAGUGUGCGCAUGUUCAUUUUAGUAGAGAAGAGGGUGGGGACUGUCAUACACACAGUCUACUUACACACAAAAUGCAUCACACAGUCUACAUACACACAGAAUUCAUCACACAGUCUACAUACAGAAUUCAUCACACAGUCUACAUACACACAGAAUACAUCACACAGUCUACAUACACACAGAAUUCAUCACACAGUCUACAUACACACAGAAUUCAUCACACAGUCUACAUACACACAGAAUACAUCACACAGUCUACAUACACACAGAAUUCAUCACACAGUCUACAUACACACAGAAUUCAUCACACAGUCUACAUACACACAGAAUUCAUCACACAGUCUACAUACACACAGAAUACAUCACACAGUCUACAUACACACAGAAUUCAUCACACAGUCUACAUACACACAGAAUACAUCAUAGUCUACAUACACACAGAAUGCAUCACACAGAAUACAUCACACAGUCUACAUACACACAGAAUACAUCACAGUUUGUAUACACACAGAAUUCAUCACACAGUCUACAUACACACAGAAUUCAUCACACAGUCUACAUACACACAGAAUUCAUCACACAGUCUAUACAUACAGAGAAUUCAUCACAGUUUGUAUACACACAGAAUACAUCACAGUCUGUAUACAAACAGAAUACAUCACAGUCUGUAUACACACAGAAUACAUCACAGUCUACAUACACAGAAUUCAUAACACAGUCUACAUACACACAGAAUACAUCACAGUUCGCAUACACACUGAAUACAUCACACAGUCUAAAUACUGCAUACAGUCUUGGUGGGGCUACAUUCAUAUUUCCCCACACUUCAUUGGAGAGUAUGUUCACUAUGAUCAGAAAGCUGGUGCUGAGUAGUGGAUAGUUAGUCUGUUGAUGCGUCAUAACCAUGCGUCAUAACCUCUUCUGGUUCAUCCACAUUAUGGCAUUAAGGCAGGCUGUGGUGUUUAUGGCUCCUCCAACUGCUACAAGAGACUCGGCAUGGAGCUUCUCUACAGUGAGCAUCUUUAACCUCAUGCUGUUGCCUUUGAAUGAACUUAGCAUGACGUACUUUGACAUCAGGAUCAGAUCAGAGUUGGAUUAGAUGCUACUAGUCCUGUCCUACCCCCUUGCUCUACAUGAGCGUAAUAUUCUUUGUACACCGGUGAUGACACAUCGACUAAUUUGACCUGACAUUCACAUUUUUGUUGGCAGGACUCUUGCUGUAACCCUCUUUUCUGUUUUCUGCAUGUGCACACAUGCAUAUGAAAUAUAGAUACCUGUAUUAUAUUGCAUGUUUGAACAUAUAAUGAUAUGCCUUGCAAACCACUGGCAAAAAGUAUCCAAACCUUUGCCUGUGUGCAAUGUAUUGCAUGCGGCCAGGGCAUACUACAAGAGAAAAAUAUAACGGGAAAAAACAACAACGAUAUGCCAGAUGAAUGUAGAUCAGUGUAAUUAACCCCCGAUAAAAUAAGCAGGUGAAAAAUAAAAUAAAUCUGAGGCUUAUCAGAGAAAACUGACAAAACAGACAGCAGCAAGCGGCUGAGUAACUGUUGGCCUAGCAACCGUCAGAGCCAGUCAUUGCCACCCUGCUGUACAAUGAUCGAUUUUCUUUAAUUUUCUGCCGCAUCCUCCAAGAGACAGUGAGAGCGAGAGCGAGAAGAGAGAGAGAGAGAGAGAGAGAGAGAGAGAGAGAGAGAAAAUGAAUAAAUAUGGGAGGAGAGGCUAUCUGUAACCCAUCGCUUCAUCUUACUAUGUGCUGUUCUACUCCUGUCUAUUAAAUUUACUGGUGAGGAGCAAGACAUUAACCAAAAAAAAAAAAAAGUGCUACAGAUAAUGUGGACAUUUUCAUGCAUAAUCUGUAAUAUGAGAAAUGUAUUAAUAGGGAAAUUAUUGUGCAUUCAAUUAUUUUGGAAUGGCUGGCAGAGAUGUUUUGAUUUGGCAGUUUGCUGAUAGCGCUGUCGCAGCAGGGAGCUUCUUGAGUGAUGAAUAACUUAAUCUGCUAAUCUGCAAAUGGGCAGCGAUCAACAGGCCCCGUUGCUGAGCGCCCAAUCAAAUUAAAGUACCAGAGGAUGACAGACGAGAGUGGGAGAGAUGCGGAAAUAAGAGAUAGAUAAACAAAUAGAAUCAUAAAGCAGACGGUUUUAAAACGACAUAAUUCCGCUGCCUUCAUUAGAUCCAGAGAGCAAAAUAAAACAAUGAGAGAUAAAGUGGCAGGGACAUUACCUUUAAUGUGUGUGUGUCGUGUGGCGCGUUUAAUGAGCUGGCAGGGCUGCUUUAAAUAGGCUUUUAUGCGUGACUCGGGAAGAAAUCAAACACUGGAGCUUUAAUCAAUCUCAGAAAAGCCUGUAAGCUGCAGAGAACACAGUCUAGCAGAUACCUGUCAGAGGGAUGGGGUACUAACAAGUGACGUGUGUGUGUAUAUGUGUGUGUGUGUGUGUGCAUGUGUGCACAUGUACAUGCUUUCUUACACACAUUGUUCUCUUAAUAUUGAUAGGGAAUGUGAAUAUUCGCACAUCAUAGAGCUGCCAUGUUGGCUUCUGUAAAUACUGUACAGCUAUUAUUUACAAAAUAAAUACACAAAAUAAAUAAAAUAAAUAAAAUUUUAAUUCUCUUUGAUUAAAUUUACACUUAGUUAGAUGUAUGUGUAAGGGCUUUUUUCUAUUUAACUAUUUAAUAAUAAUAAGAAGAAAGGUGUGUGUGUGUGUGUGUGUGUGUGUGUGUGUGUGUGUGUGUGUGUGUGUGUGUGUGUGUGUGUGAGACCGACAGUGAGGGCACAGUGUUGAUGACCGCUGAUUGAAGGCAUACUAUCGACUCAGGUCACCAACCUUGAAUGUUGAAGCCUCUGUCCUCAACAAAAUAUCAUGACUUUGAGAAUAUCCACAAUUUGUUCUGAAAGUUCUAUAGUAAGGAAUAAAAAAAACAAAACAACAGAACAUGCUGUUAUGACGGGGUGGUGUGAUGUGUUACCACCCCAAAGUUUCCUCUAACAGCACAUGCUGAAGUGUUUUAUUCCUCUUAUACCUGAGCGGUUCAUGAAGGUUCACAUUUUUAAAAGAAUUAAACAAUGACAUAUACUUUUCAUUCAUUUAUAGUUAUGUUUCAUGUUGUGGAAUGUCUCUCUAUUGAAGCUAACAGAGAGGAAAGGUUUCUGAGUCUGGAAAAUGAAUGUUAUAGCUUUUAAACUUACUGACACUCACAGAACACUUCACUAUAUCAAUGACUGUACACAUUUUUUAAUCUGUUCAUAUGGAGCUUUAUUAUAAACUUUGGCAGCCAGAACAACCACCAGAGCCAGUGUUAUAACAUUUUCUGACCAAUCAGACUUGAGCUUUUGACAAGUGCUUGAUUUAUGCUUAUUCCUUUCAUUUAGAUACACAUCUAUUCUAUGUGUAUGAUAAACACACAAAGAAGUGCACUUUUUGAGUGUAAUAAUGCAAGGUUCAAAACAUCACUUGAUGAAUCAGAUCCCUAAACAAACCAGGAGUAAUAACAAUCCCAAUUACAAUUUAAGAUUCUCUAAAGUCCUCCUGUGAUCCUUUCACUUUUUUUAUUAGUUAGGUGCUAAUGUGAUUUUUCUCUUUAUAUGUUUUGCAGUUUGACUUUUUUGUGCUUUUUUCCCCCUAAUCAUUGUUGUGCUUCUCCGUACAUCAUUUGUAGAGCGAGAUGAAACAGAUGGUCAUACUUCCCCCUCUUCUCUUCCGCCAUGUACGUGGGAGAAAAUGGUGCUGUUGCAGUAUUGAUAUUCACAGUUGGAAAAGAGAGGCAGACUAAUUCUCCAUAUUGAGUAAAGGUUUAGGUGUUAGGCAUUUGUUUUUUUUUUGUGUGUGUGUUUUUUUUCCCUGAUGGGUGCUUUUUGUGAGUGAGAGCGCUUCUCCUCAUCCCAUGUUGUUAGAGGAGUUAAUGAAAUAAAUGUGAGAGCGGAGAUAGGAAUUCUCCUAUUUUCUGCUUCCUACUGUUUUCCCCAUUGCCUGGCCCAGGCUGUUAAUUUAGGAGCGAAGCAGAUAAAUUAGAGUCAUGUGGUCAUAUGCGAUAUUUGUUUUUGCUACACAGCUGCAGGUACCCAUAAAACGCUUGGAAAUGUAUUUGAUUUCGACCAAGGCCCCUCGUUUUAAUUUACCAAUCUCGUUGCUUCUCUUCACACAACCAGAGUUGGCUAAUUAUUUGAUCUCCUUAAAAAUAAACGUUCUUUUUUUUCUGGAUUCUCUUGUGUGGCUAACAGCCUCUACAAAUAGGCAAGAGCAGGUUUCUUGAUUCUCUCUCUAUUGCUGACAAUUUCCCUCUCCUGGUUAACUCCCUGUGAAAGCAAUUUGCCCCAUACUCAGGGAAGGUAAUGAGCAGAUGGUACCAUUGUAAAUGAUGAUGCGCCCAUAAUAAAGAGUUGAUAAACAUGGAAUUACUACUGGGCGGUGGGCGCUAAACAGUGUGGUCGGCAGAGAUGCCUGGAACAUUGAGGGCAGCCCCUGAGCCUCAUGGUAUCCUGUGCCAGAUCUCGAACAGUUUGCUGUGUGCAUCGCAAACAACGUGUCUGCUCCAUACACACCAUCUGAAAGACGAUGCAUUUUAAAAGGGUGGGAUUCAAGAUUGCCCAGUUAUCCACCAGUCCUAUUACAGUGCUAUAACCUGGUAUAUGUUUUUUUUUUUUUCAGAAUUUCCAAGAAAUAAACACGUUCUUAUUAUUCUACCUAGGUGUUAGAUGUUUUGGUGUAAUGUCUUGCUGUUCUUGAAAGUAUGUGUGUGUGUCUCGGUUGUUGUUAAGAAGCCAACUGUCAGUAUGUAUGUAUGAAUUUUUAUGUGUGACAUUGAAGUAACACCUAACAAUAUAAUAUGUAACCCAAACUUAAAUAAACUUAAACUGCACAGAAGCUCUAUGUGUGAACCAUUGCUGUUAUUCGUGGCCACCAACAUCUCUUUCAUGUGCUACUGCUUGAAUUGUUUUGGCCUGAAUCCCAGCAGAAACACUCGCCAUGCCUGGAUAUAAGUGCCCACUAAUUUUCUUUUGGAUCUUGGGCCUUGAUGUUGAAUGUGUAGGCGUGUGUGUGUGUGUGUGUGUGUGUGUGUGUGUGUGUGUGUAUGUGUGUG
ensembl:lncRNA